GAUAAUACGCGUGCCGCGAAAUGUCCGUAUUAAGUACACAGGGUCGAUUACGCAAUAGCUUUGGUUUCUAACGUAACGCGAUCGAGGCGCGACGGCCGGUGUUAUAGGUGUACACGGUUCGGUGUGGUAGGUGCGGUCACUGCGACUGCGUGAAACGGUGUGCCUGCGAGGCAGAUGGAAUCCCGACUCCUGCACCGACACCCGGUUUGCCC